GAAGGCCCUAUGGGUUGUAAACUGCUGUGGUAAGGGAAUAAAAAAUAGUGUAGGAAAUGCCACUAUAUUGAAUGUACCUUAUUAGAAAGCAACGGCUAACUAUGUGCCAGCAGCCGCGGUAAUACAUAGGUUGCAAGCGUUAUCCGGAAUUAUUGGGCGUAAAGCGUCUGUAGGUUGUUUGUUAAGUCUGGCGUUAAAUUUUGGGGCUCAACCCCAAACCGCGUUGGAUACUGGCAGACUAGAGUUAUGUAGAGGUUAGCGGAAUUCCUUGUGAAGCGGUGAAAUGCGUAGAUAUAAGGAAGAACACCAACAUGGCGAAGGCAGCUAACUGGACAUACACUGACACUGAGAGACGAAAGCGUGGGGAGCAAACAGGAUUAGAUACCCUGGUAGUCCACGCCCUAAACGUUGAUCAUUAGCUGAUGGGGAACUCAUCGGCGCAGCUAACGCAUUAAAUGAUCCGCCUGAGUAGUACGUUCGCAAGAAUAAAACUUAAAGGAAUUGACGGGGACCCGCACAAGCGGUGGAGCAUGUGGUUUAAUUUGAAGAUACGCGUAGAACCUUACCCACUCUUGACAUCUUCUGCAAAGCUAUAGAGAUAUAGUCGAGGUUAACAGAAUGACAGAUGGUGCAUGGUUGUCGUCAGCUCGUGUCGUGAGAUGUUCGGUUAAGUCCUGCAACGAGCGCAACCCUUAUCCUUAGUUACUAACAUUAAGUUGAGCACUCUAGGGAGACUGCCCGAGUAAUCGGGAGGAAGGUGGGGACGACGUCAAAUCAUCAUGCCUCUUACGAGUGGGGCCACACACGUGCUACAAUGGCCGGUACAAAGUGAAGCAACCUGGUGACAGUGAGCAAACCACAAAAAGCCGGUCUCAGUUCGGAUUGGAGUCUGCAACUCGACUCCAUGAAGUCGGAAUCGCUAGUAAUCGUAGAUCAGCUACGCUACGGUGAAUACGUUCUCGGGUCUUGUACACACCGCCCGUCAAACCAUGGGAGCUGGUAAUGCCCGAAGUCGGUUUAUUAACAAACUGCCUAAGGCAGGACUGGUGACUGGGGUUAAGUCGUAACAAGGUAUCCCUAC
rnacentral:rRNA from 1 species